AUUGAACGCUGGCGGCAUGCCUUACACAUGCAAGUCGAACGGUAACAGGUCUUCGGAUGCUGACGAGUGGCGAACGGGUGAGUAAUACAUCGGAACGUGCCUAGUAGUGGGGGAUAACUACUCGAAAGAGUGGCUAAUACCGCAUGAGAUCUACGGAUGAAAGCAGGGGAUCGAAAGACCUUGUGCUACUAGAGCGGCCGAUGGCAGAUUAGGUAGUUGGUGGGAUAAAAGCUUACCAAGCCGACGAUCUGUAGCUGGUCUGAGAGGACGAUCAGCCGCACUGGGACUGUGACACGGCCCAGACUCCUACGGGAGGCAGCAGUGGGGAAUUUUGGGCAAUGGGCGAAAGCCUGAUCCAGCAAUGCCGCGUGCAGGAUGAAGGCCUUCGGGUUGUAAACUGCUUUUGUACGGAACGAAAAGCCCUGGGUUAAUACCCUGGGGUCAUGACGGUACCGUAAGAAUAAGCACCGGCUAACUACGUGCCAGCCGCCGCAGUAACAC
rnacentral:rRNA from 1 species